UUUUAGUUGGCAGGAAGUCUCGUAUGAGUCAACAGGGGGGAGGUGGCAGCCAGCAAAGCUAAUGUCACUGUAGCAUCCACCAAGUGGAGGUACAACGAGUGGGGGAGGGAGGAGAUACUCCCGAGUCAGUCUGCAUCCAGGAAAUGGAGCUCAGGUCUGGAAACCUGAGUCAGGGAAAGGGGCAGAGAGCUCACCGGGCUCUCUGACCCAGAGGCUGGGGGUGGAGAGGUGGCUCCUGGCUGCUGCUGGACACUCUCCUCGUCCUCUGGCAUCCCCAAAGCGUAUUAGUCUAUUUCUGAACAAUUACAGCCCCUUCUUGCUCUUGUCCGAUUGCCUUGCCUGCCUCCAGAAUACGCUACUCAUUCAACUUCGGGUUUUAUUCACGUAACCUGAGUACCUGUGGGGAUUCCUUGUGACCUCGUUUCUACAUGAAGUCACAUUCAAAGAAGCCCAAUCCAGCAAGCGAAAGAGAGAGCUUUCCAUCUUCAGGCACACCUCUCAAAGAGAUGAAAAAGAAUGAGGUCCCUGUUUCCUUUUCUCUCUCACUAUCUUGGGCUUCAAGUCUUCUUUAGAAACUUUGACUCUUCCAAGGCACCCCAAACCCUCCGGGCAUCCAUAAUCGACCUGACACGCCAUGACUCUCAACUUUCUGCAUCCCCAUUAUACACAAAGGACUCAACACCUAUGUCUUUUUUUUUUUUUUUCUUCUGGUCCCUCCUUCCCUACCCCCUCUAUGUUCUUCUGGAGUUUUCUUUCCACUUCACUGCUGACCCAAAUUCCUCCCUCCGACAGGGUGGGGGGACUCAGAGACUGAUCUGGCAAGCCAGGAUGCUCCCCCGCGACCUGGGUCUCUCCAGCACUGUCUGUCCCUUCCUUUCCUCCCAGGAACUGCGCUGGCCAAGAUGGAGCUCUGAGGGAGCUGAAUGAGAAGAAACAGAGCAGGCCAAGACCGCAUUUUUGGAGAGUGGGGUGUGUGGGGCAAAUAUGGCGACGGGAGGGAUGACGGGGACGUCGGGAACACUCCGCAUGCAAAGUUUGUCCUCGGUGUUUGUCAGCACACGGUCGCUGUGGGUGGAAGAGCCUGGCCGCCCGUGCGUACAGAUCCUACCUCAGAUUGCCGUGUGAUGGCUGCUUAUAGUGAACAGCAGCAGACAGAGGGCCUCCCCCAAAAGUUCCCCAUCACCUUGCAUGGUUCAUUUCCAUGGCCAUGGGCUCCUCUUCUCCACAGGGCUGACUCUCGUUUCUUUAAUGGCAUACCCUGAGAUGUCCUGGGGGAAGGCUGGCUGGAGAGACAGCACUCACCACAGAUUCCAUGUGCCGGGCUACACUUCCCCGCCUCCUCUGCAGCUAGAUUGGGGCCCCACGGCUUAUUCUGCCCAAUGGGCUGAGACGAAGGCAAUCGCGGGUUGAUGUGCCUCCUCGUUUUGCCAUAGGGACUUUGGACGCCCCGUGUUCCAGACGGCAUGCCAAAAGGGGGAGGGUCUCGCAACUCACGGGGCACCUGAUACGCGCAAGAAAUAAACUUCCAUCUCAAGAUUGAGAUUUCAGUCUUGUCACUGCCACAUGGCCUGGCCUGGCCCCGUGAAUAGUCAGAGCGUCAGAAUUAACGGAGUAAUUGCUAUUCUUGAGCUCUUUAAUGUGAGGAAGGAAGAAGCUGUCUCUGGAGCCACCCGGGGCAGCUGAUUGACGCUUUCCCUGACUGUCAUCAUCCAGCACAGAUGGCACUUCCUGUUUGGUAACACCUCACGUGGGCUUCUUCAUCCCCCACUGACUCUGCCAGUCACCAUCCUACACAGUCAAAUGUGCACAGUAUUAGAAGUUUGCCAAGAACACAUCCUUGUGUCUGCCAAGGAGUGUCUGUUAGAGGAAGAGUAUUCUAGCAGACGAUGUUCAGAGGAGAAAUGGACCACCCCAGGAGGCAGCAAACCCCUUGUCUCUGAGUUUCCUCAUUUGACAACGGGAAGAAAGAUGCUGACCCACCUUGAAGAAUUUCCGUGAGGACCCAGUAAGAAGACGGGCUGAAAACAUUUCGAAAACCCUACAAAGACCAAAGUUGUCAUUUCAAGAAGGAAUUCAUUCAGCGGCAGAUAAGUCGCCCAGUUUCGAAUCUUGCUUCUACCUGUCUCCAGCUGUGUGUCCAAGGACGAAACGGAGUAUUUUUUUUUUUUUUUGAGAAUUUGUUUUCCAUCUUUAAAAUGGGAGCAAAAGGAAUAUCCACCUCUUAGCAUUUCUGCGAAGAUGGUGUGAAAUUGUGUAAGUAAACAGUACAUAUGCCCCAUUGCUAUUUUUAUUGUUGGUUUGUUAUUUUUGCAGAAAGGGAGGAACCUUUACUGUUAGUGCCCUAAGCUUUCUCCCUGCCCCAGAACUGUGGCUUCUGGUUAUCGAGAGGCCUGGCAGGAAAGAGGAAAUGGACGGCUCAGGGAAGCCACCACCGUCCUUGUGAAGGGAGCCACCUGAGGUGGGGGCCACUUGCCCAAGCAAAAACAGCGAUUUGGUGGCAAGGCCAGGUUUCAACCUCAGGUCUCAACUGACCAGUCCCUCUCUCUCUGCUGGCGGUCACUCUGUAGUUUCUCUCUUGAAAGAAGAGACUGUUGACCAAAGGUUGGCCUCUGGGAUAAGGGAGGGGCUGGAAGCUUCUGAUGGGUGGCCACCUCUGAGCGUUGCCUUAUUACAGCUUUGCCGUCUGGGAAGGGCGACUCUGAGGUCAGCAAGCUCCAGGAGAAGCUAGAGAAAGAGGGUUGGUUGGGAGCGGUUGGCUGCUUCGGGCACUGCUGUUUCACGGCUCGGUGGGGGGCAGAGGGAAUCUCAGAACAGAAUUACGAGGCAGGGGGUGUCUGGGCUCUCUGAUUUGGGCCAUUGAUCUUAGGAGCAAGACCAUUCAUUCGCUGAGGAUUCCCUGUUUCUAUCAGCAAUCAUGUAACCAUGCUGUGUUUGGACCAUGCGUGGACAAGGAUGCCUGUAACAUAUAUGGAUUUGUCUAGGCAGCGGGACUCUGACUUCAGAUAGGAGUGUGUGCCGUGGGCUAGGCUGCCGGCAGGUAAGGCCUGGGAUUGGCUCCUCCAUAUAAAAUCUAAAAAAAAAAAAAAAAAAAAAAAAAAAAAAAUUAUAAGGCCUCUAAUGAUUAUUAUGAAAAUUAAGUAAGUCAAUGUUUGCAAAAGUGCCUUGUAAAUCGCAGCACAAAUACCGAAGAAAGUCAUGGUGUGUAGAAUUUGGUCUGAAAAUGCUAGCUGACGCUUGACUGUGUCCCCAGCUCUUCGCUGGAAGCUGCAGAGAAACCAAAUGGGGUUAAGCCUUGUUCGCCCAUCGUGGGGCUGGUGGGCUUUCUCAGCGUGAAAGCCUUUCCCUGCCCCUUCCUUCGAACACGCUUUGAUUAAGCACCUAUUAUAGGCCAGGUUCUGGGCUAGAAGCUGAAUAGUAUGGUGAUCACUGUCUCCUAGGGGACAGACGCUGAGCAAACGGGUAGGUUGCAAAGCCCUGCUGGGUAGCCAGGGAUUGUCACAGAGAAACGGAUGGGUUCAAAGGGCACCAGGCAAGCCUCUGAGCCUCGUUGCAUCAUCUCUAAGAUCCGGACGGGUGGCCUGAACAUUCUCUUGGAAAUCGGUAGCUUGGUUGGAGAGAGUAACCACGAGGUGGGGUGGGCGAGUGGACAGAGGCCAAUUUACACCGGACCUAGCACUGGGGAAGAGGGAAGCAGUGGUGAUCUUGGCCCUUGGAGAGUCCAUAGUGCAGUGGAAAGACAAGAAAACAGCCAGCGACAGCGUAGUCUGGUCUGAGUUUUGACAGGCUAAGUGAGGCCAAGAGGUACGGGAGCCCAGAGGAGGAACCCUUUUCCCCAGCCUGGGAAGUUGGAGUGGAAGUUAGCAAAGCAGAGACGCAAGCUAAGGGAAUUCUAGGCAGAGGGAACCGAAUGAGCAAAGGCAUGGAGUUCUAUCCAGCUAAGACACAGAAUCUGAAAUGGGGAGCGAUAAGGCUGCAGGAGGUACACAGUGAACUUGAACGCCGUGGUGGGGAACUUGAACUUUACCUUGUAUGUAGCAGGGAGCUACUUUAGAUGCAGAAGCAUGAGAUAAAGGAUUAAUCAGGCUUUGCCACCAGGAUGGCAACUGCGAGUGGGUCCAGGGGAGGCAGGCUGCAGAAGUCCUAGAGGCCAACGUGAAAGGCACUUGUCUGGGGUUGAGCCCAUCGUACGGCAAGUCUAGAGUGCCAUUGAACUUCCACGGACUCAGCGGCAACCUUCCCCACACAAUGCCCCCUGCCUUGCUCCGGUCUGGGGAGGAUGGGGCCCCGAGCUGAGAACGCUCCUGCAGGGCCCAGGCCUUCAGAACAGCCCUCCGGGGGGAUGGCCCCCUCCAGCCUCGAUGGGCUAGUUCAGGCUGCUUUAGCUGGGGCCCAUUUGGCUGCAAGGGACAUUUUGCUCAAGCCAAAUGAUGACCUUGUGGAAAGGAGAUGACGAAGUUUCACAAAACCCAGGGGUGAAAGCUUCAGCCCCGCUUCUGAGGAACUAAGAGUCCAAAACUGCAGAGUCCUGCCUAAGGCUCUUUUCCCACACUCGCGGCUCUCCUUCCUCCUUCUUCUCUCCAUCUGAGGGCCAGCUCUCUCUGGUAGAGGAGAGCCCCACUGCCCGGCUUCUCCUCCUCACCGCCAAAUGCCCCAUAGUGGCGGAGGAGAGGACUUCCCUCUGGUCGCUGGGAUCCGGGCAGUCUGAGGGGCUGUGCCUCGGGGCAGGGGGCCUGGGGCCAAGAAAGGGGGUGUGUCCUAGACAGCAGGGCUCCAGAGCCUACUCCUCUGGGUCUGUUGGGGGGUGGGCUUGUGGGUGGGAGGGGUGCCGGCACUGGAUUGGCCCCCAAGGGCUGUCCGUUCUAUUAGACCCGGUGAGCCUGCCCUCCAGGUGCACAGUAGUCAGAAUCCACAGAGACCUCCACUCACCUUUUCAGGAAGGGAGACAGACCAGAAAAAUCCCCAUGUUUGCUACUGUGGACAGUGAAAGCAGGUAAGUAAAGGGUCUGAGAAGAGCCUGCCUUGGGGGUGGUGGGCAGGGGUGCAGGAGGGCCGGGCCCUUUUGCUACGGGCUUGGGGAGCCGGUUCAGAGCCUGGCGACCUGGUAGGAGGUGGCCGAUCUUGGAGGAAGAGGCUGAGGCCCCUAGGGCUGGAGGCUAACGGGGGCAGAGCCAGCAUCUUGGGGCUGAGGAGGGGCCCAAGACUUCUGGGGUGGGCGUGCGAGGUUCCUUUGUUUCCGAUGCCCCGUGGACUUCACACGGCACCAGCUGGAGGAACCAGAGGCCAUUGGGUGGUUUUCCCCAAAUGUGGAGGAAUCUCUCCCCUCCCCCACCUCUGGUGUUGCUAGAAGCUGGGCUUCCUGGGGGUUCUCAUAAACUCAGGAGGCUCUGUAAUCGUUUCCAUAUAGAAUGGUUUCCCUGAAUAGCGAAGGAGGCCAGCUGUAGCUGAUGGAACACAAAACAGCAUGCGCUGCUGGGGGAUAAACGUGAACGCCUAUCCCUGUGCCUGGCAUGCCACCCCCCCCCCCGUCCCCCCAACUCCAGGAGGGAGGAGGUUGCCCAGUGGGUAAGCACGUGGCCUCUGGUCUCUGCACCACACGCUUCAACUCCGGCACGAUUGCUCACCGGUCGAAACCCCAGGCACAUUACUCAAAUCUUGCCGGGUCUCAGUUUUCUCUCCUGUGAAAUGGGCAUGACGAUAGCCCGAAGAAAGGUUGUGGUCCUCAGGAUUUAAUGAGACACCUGGAAUAGCACGCAGCACGGGUGUCUGGAUGGGCUCACUAACACUAGAGGUUUCGAUGGUCACUGUCCCUGUUUUCGGCACGUGCCGCAGGGCUCAGCCCAGUCCCUUGUGGUUUCUCUAUUGGUUUCCAGUGUGGUUACAACAUACCUGAUGUGCUAACCAUCCCCACGUCCUCCGUGCUUGCUAAACUCUCCCCACAACUUGCUUGGGCUCUUUCCUCCUCUGGGAACCCUCCUUGUGAGAGCUGCCCGGCCACGACCUCACCGCUCCUUGGGGUGCUGCCCGACCCGCCCUCCUUCCUGAAAGCGUGCCGCAGAUCCGGGAAGGAAUUCGCCACUUCGCCUCCAACUCCCCAGGCUCAGAAUUUCCACGAAUCUCUGUGAGAGGGAGGCAGCAGCACGCAGCACGUCACGUCACGGUGCAGCUCUAGGGUGGCACAGCUGUAGCCCUAGCUGUGUGACCUUGGCUUGCCUGGGCCUCAGUGUCCUUGCGCGUCACAUGGAGACGAAGCUUUGUUCACAGGGCUGUUGUAAGACACGGAAAGCAGAGACAAUGCCUCCUGGCACCUAUGAAGGGCUCACAAAAGAUUGGAUAUUUCUAUAAAAAUAAUCUCCAAAAGCCUGGCUUUUAAUGGCUGUGAUAUCUACUGUGUGGGUAGAUCAUAAUUUCAUUAACCAGCCCCUUGUUGUUGGGCAUUUAGACUGUUUCCACUCUUUCGCUAUUAUAAAUAAUGCUGCGGUGAACAUCUUGUAUAUAAAUCUUUCUGUUUAUCUCUGCUUCUUUAAAAGAGCUCCCCAAAGAUUGCUUGUCUUAGAACAAAGCCCCUGCCCCCCAGACUUUCCAGUGAUACCCUUUGAAAUAAAAGCAAAGCCUAUUUUCCACCAGGGAAAGGAACAUAUGGAACAUGUUAACCAAGAGGUGGUUCAGGAGGAAGGUAGAAAUAGGUUCAAGAUGGGUUUGGAUCCAUUUCAGGAUGUCUGACACAAAGCCAGUGAUACAGCUCCCCUCGAGCCUCCUUCCCGGAGCGAGGCAGAGGCUGAUCCUCGGGGACCACUGACUUCUUUCUUUGAGAGAAUUCCAAAGGGCUUUGAUGUUCUUGGCGUGGGAGAAGCAACAAUGACAGAUCAAUAAACGAAGCCAGAAUGUGUGGACAAUCCGGGACUCCUCCAGCCGGUAGGGGGCGAUAUCGCCUGCUUCUGUCUUCCAGUUGGGCCUAGGGUUUCUCCCUAACAAGGACUUCCUUUGUUGUUGUCUUAAAACUUUGGCUUAGGCUUUAUAUAUUUCUCUCGCCUGUUUUCCUUCCUCUCCUCCCACCUACGCACUUUUCAGAAUCACUUUGGGUUGCCAUUCAUUCAUCCCAUUCCUUUGGGAGAAAUGUACUGCGUGCUUCCCCUAGGCCAGACAUCAAGAUUGUGUUCAGACUUUCUAAGACCUAGACACGCUUGCUCUGGAAGCUCCGACUCACACGGAUCAAAUGUAUUGCAAUUCACCCAUAUUCCAUAUGAGGUAUAUUUUUUCUGUGAAGAAAAAUAAGGAUUAUAUUUUAUAACGUCACUUUUGAAAUUAUUUGGCUACAAGUAAUUCGUUCCAUCUACGGCCGGCUUUGAUUUCGCAGCAGUUAUGGGGGUGCUCGAGAAUUCUUGCAAAGUGAGAAACAUCUAACCUGCACGUCGUUCUCAAAGACAGUGAAAUUUUUAUGAAUUUUUAGGAAUGCUAAAUGAAACCAUUAAUGCGGUUGAUGUAAUAUUCUGUUUUGUGGACGUUUCAGUAAAAUUUUAUUCAUUUCCAUUGCAAAGCUUUUCCUUCGUGUUUGGGAUCCAAUAAUUUUGUUUUCAGAUCUACAGACAGUUUUUAGGGAUCUCUGAAAAGUUCCCAGGCCCUGUAACCGUGCCCAGUGCCUAGCAGAGCCCUCUGUGAGGCUCAGGCACGGAGAAACGGAAGAGUUGGGACAGUUUUUACAGAGUUCCCAGGCCAUCGAGUGGCACACUAAUUUAGGUAAGCGUUGCUAUAAUGGAGUGUGAGCGGGACACAGUGAAAGUAUCAUUUGCUCUAAGUUGAGACUCCAGGGGGAGUCAGUGAAGACUUUCAGAGAGCAGGUGCGUCCGAGCCAGAAUAUGCGACUGGCGAGCAGUUUUCGAAGCAGAUACCAGUGGGGAGGGUGUUGUGGGCAGGCGGCACAGCACAUACAAAGGGGGUGGCCGGGAAAAGAACCUCUGCCUAUGAACAAGCCAGCUGACCUCUCAGUGCUGCCCACACCGAUCGCUAGGGCGUCGUUUUCCAGACCAGCGGCACUGGUGUUGGCAAGGCGGUCGUAGGCACCCCCCCCCCCCGGAACCUCCUCCGUGUUAAUAGGAUCCCUGGCGAUUUGAAUGAACCCCAAGAUCUGAGAGGCAGGCUCUAGUUCCAGCUGGAUCGGAGCUAGGCCUCCUCAGGGAUUGGGGCUGUGGGAGAUGGGGAAGGUGGUGGUCGGCCCGCAGAACUGCAGCCCCGACAGAGCGGCAGGCCAGCUGUUUCAAA